AACAGCCUUCAUGUUACCAGCUUGACACCAGAGAUGACUCUCCUUGGGAUCUACUUCUCUUACUAUUUGAACUCCAGAAGGAC
rnacentral:lncRNA from 1 species